rnacentral:rRNA from 1 species
GACGAACGCUGGCGGCGUGCCUAAUACAUGCAAGUAGAACGCACAGUUUAUACCGUAGCUUGCUACACCAUAGACUGUGAGUUGCGAACGGGUGAGUAACGCGUAGGUAACCUGCCUGGUAGCGGGGGAUAACUAUUGGAAACGAUAGCUAAUACCGCAUAAUAUUAAUUAUUGCAUGAUAAUUAAUUGAAAGGUGCAAUUGCACCACUACCAGAUGGACCUGCGUUGUAUUAGCUAGUAGGUGAGGUAACGGCUCACCUAGGCGACGAUACAUAGCCGACCUGAGAGGGUGAUCGGCCACACUGGGACUGAGACACGGCCCAGACUCCUACGGGAGGCAGCAGUAGGGAAUCUUCGGCAAUGGACGGAAGUCUGACCGAGCAACGCCGCGUGAGUGAAGAAGGUUUUCGGAUCGUAAAGCUCUGUUGUAAGAGAAGAACGGGUGUGAGAGUGGAAAGUUCACACUGUGACGGUAUCUUACCAGAAAGGGACGGCUAACUACGUG